rnacentral:rRNA from 1 species
CUACGGGCCGCAGCAGUGAGGAAUUUUGCGCAAUGGGGGGAACCCUGACGCAGCAACGCCGCGUGAGUGAUGAAGGCUUUCGGGUCGUAAAGCUCUGUCAAGUGGGAAGAACCUAUGCAGUGUUAAUAUCACUGUAUACUGACGGUACCACUGAAGGAAGCACCGGCUAACUCCGUGCCAGCAGCCGCGGUAAUACGGGGGGUGCAAGCGUUAUUCGGAAUCAUUGGGCGUAAAGGGCACGUAGGCGGCUUGGUAAGUCAGAUGUGAAAGCCCGGGGCUUAACCCCGGAAGUGCAUUUGAUACUGUCAGGCUUGAGUAUGGGAGAGGGAAGUGGAAUUCCUGGUGUAGAGGUGAAAUUCGCAGAUAUCAGGAGGAACACCGGUGGCGAAGGCGACUUCCUGGACCAAUACUGACGCUGAGGUGCGAAGGCGUGGGUAGCAAACAGGAUUAGAUACCCGAGUAGUC